rnacentral:ncRNA from 2 species
GUGGCCGCCAAGGGGUGUUCAGUAAAACCUGAACUGAGAUGUCUGUAUGACGAACCCUUAGAACCUGAUCCGGCUUAUACCGGCGUAGGAAUGGGCCACACUAUCUUU